GGGAGCGGUAGGCCCCGCCCACAGAGGAGGGUACCCCGCCGGAAGCCCCCUGCUCUGUGGGAACCGGAGGGAGGACAGCGCGAGGUCCCCGGACAAAGCGUGGCGCAUAAGUCCGGCCCGUAACUUGGUGGGCAGGCAACUUAGGGGAUGUGGGCCUGGUUAUAGCUGAGCAUGCUUUUCUAUUCCUCCCAGACCACAGUUCUUCAGACCUGGAGCCACUUUCAGAGAAGAGUAUAAGUUGCACUGAAUUGAAAAAGGGAAAAGUUUAGGACUGCAGAAGAUGGAAUUCCUGGGGACGUUAAACUGGGCUAAGAUGGAGCAGAUAAGAUUUCCUUAAUUAGAGCAAGACACACCUAGUAUCUAGAGCCUGGAAGUCUUGGUCAAGGAUUCUCCCUAACAUCUCAGUUUCUCAGCACUAACAUUCCUGCUACUAAAAUGAAGUGAGAAAUUAAUUUCUGAAGUUAAGUAAAGAAAUAAACUAAAAUUCCUAGAAAAGAGGUAAGAAGAAUGAGCCUUUGAAAAAUGUCUUCACAAAGACUGGCAUGAUGGCAUGGAAGAAAGAGCCCCAGAUAUCCAGUAUACAUCUCAAGGUCAACUUGUCCAAAACAGAGCUACUGAUGAUUUUCCCCUUGAAAUCUACUCUUCCUACAGCUUAUUCAUCUCAAAUAACACAUUCACUCUCAUGGCUUCAACUAGGCGGAAUGUGACUGACCAACAGUGUGGCUCAUCCUUGUGGAGGAGAACAGAUGCCAAUUAAUUUGACAUGACCAUAUCCAACCCAGGAAGUGGGUGGGAGGCUGGAGUACAGUGGCAUGAUCAUAUCUCACUGCAACUUCUACCUCCUGGGCUCAAGCAAUCCUCUUACCUCAGCCUCCUGAGUAGCUGGGACUAUAG
rnacentral:lncRNA from 10 species